UACAGGGGGUGCAAACGUUGCUCGGAAUCAUUGGGCGUAAAGCGCACGUAGGCGGUUCGUCGCGUCGGCUGUGAAAUCCCGAGGCUCAACCUCGGGUCUGCAGUCGAUACGGGGCGGACUGGAGUUCGGCAGGGGAGACUGGAAUUCCUGGUGUAGCGGUGAAAUGCGCAGAUAUCAGGAGGAACACCGGUGGCGAAGGCGGGUCUCUGGGCAGUAACUGACGCUGAGGAGCGAAAGCGUGGGGAGCGAACAGG
rnacentral:rRNA from 1 species